rnacentral:rRNA from 1 species
UACGUAGGCAGCGAGCGUUGUUCGGAGUUACUGGGCGUAAAGGGUGUGUAGGCGGUUGUUUAAGUUUGGUGUGAAAUCUCCCGGCUCAACUGGGAGGGUGCGCCGAAUACUGAAUGACUUGGAGUGCGGGAGAGGAGAGUGGAAUUCCUGGUGUAGCGGUGAAAUGCGUAGAUAUCAGGAGGAACACCAGUGGCGAAGGCAGGUCUCUGGGCUGACACUGACGCUCAUGCACGAAAGCGUGGGGAGCAAACAGG